GUCGUCAGCUCGUGUCGUGAGAUGUUGGGUUAAGUCCCGCAACGAGCGCAACCCCUAUUGUUAGUUGCCAUCAUUCAGUUGGGCACUCUAGCGAGACUGCCGGUAAUAAACCGGAGGAAGUGGGGAGUGACGUCAAAUCAUCAUGCCCCUUAUGACCUGGGCUACACACGUGCUACAAUGGUUGGUACAACGAGUUGCGAGUCGGUGACGGCGAGCUAAUCUCUUAAAGCCAAUCUCAGUUCGGAUUGUAGGCUGCAACUCGCCUACAUGAAGUCGGAAUCGCUAGUAAUCGCGGAUCAGCACGCCGCGGUGAAUACGUUCCCGGGCCUU
rnacentral:rRNA from 1 species